UAUUAAAAAUUUUAUUUAUUUCUAUUGUUAAAAACAAGCGUAGCUGACAAAAUAGUCAAGUUAUACAUGACAUGUCAUGUGUACCUCAUUCUAAUAUACGAGGGCUAGUUUUUAACAAUAAAAAUGGAUGAUAUUUUUAACA
rfam:Gossypium arboreum cultivar AKA8401 contig_4699_5, whole genome shotgun sequence.